GAUGAACGCUGGCGGCGUGCUUAACACAUGCAAGUCGAACGGUAAGGCCCUGCUUUUGGGGGGUGCUCGAGGGGCGAACGGGUGUGUCACAUGAGAGUACUCCGCCCAAGACUGUGGGAUACCUUCGGGAAACUGGGUAAUAUCGCGGAGAGGCGCUUCCGGCGUGUGGGGGGGGGGGGAGAGUUUUGGCGGUUGGGGAUGGACUCGCGGCUUAUCAGCUUGUUGGUGGGGUAGUGGCUUACCAAGGCUUUGACGGGUAGCCGGCCUGAGAGGGUGACCGGCCACAUUGGGACUGAGAUACGGCCCAGACUCCUACGGGAGGCAGCAGUGGGGAAUAUUGCACAAUGGGCGGAAGCCUGAUGCAGCAACGCCGCGUGCGGGAUGACGGCCUUCGGGUUGUAAACCGCUUUCGGCUGUGACGAAGCGUGAGUGACGGUACUGGGUAAAGAAGCACCGGCUAACUACGUG
rnacentral:rRNA from 1 species